CUAUUUCAGUCACUGAAAGGUUAUGACUCCCCCGCCUCGUCACCUCACUCCAGACAUCGUUCCCCCUCGCCCUCAACGGAAUCCAGCAAGAGACGACGUGACAGUUCACCACGGAAAAAAUCCUCAAAGAAAAAGCGAUCAAGGUCAAAAUCUCCAAAGAGCAGUAAGAAAACAAAACGAAAAGAACGCAGUCGAAGUCGCAGUCCUGCCAAAAGUUCUAAGAAAUCUAAAUGAUUCAUUUCACAUUUAUAACAAGAUCUUGGAAAGUUUGGAGUCAGGAAAACAUUAAUUUAAGGACCAACUCUGCAUGAGACUGCAUUGGCAUGGAGUGAACAAACAGAUGUAACAUUGACGAGUACAUGACUCCUUAGCUUAACAAUCCUAAAUGAUACAUUUACGAGAACGCGUUUAUAACAUGGAAACAUGUGAAAAGUCAGGAAACAUUAAGAUCCAACACUACAUUCCACAGAGACCUUGUUUUUAUAUAAAGAGAACAAACAUAUUUACCAUUGUGUACACGUCCAGGUGAAGGUCGUUUAUCACGACGAUGGUAGCUUAGAUAAACCAUGGAUAAUAAAAUAAAUGGAUAGGAAACUAGCUGACGUGAUCUAAUGUUUUCAAUGGGCUGAUGGCGUGGUUGGAUGUUGAAACCUAGUUGCAAACCAAGUUCUAAAAACGGCAUGUUUAGCAAUAAUACAGUUAAACAUUUUAGUCAAAAAGCAAAUGAAUAUAACUACGCCAUUCUACGAUGAAAUAUCUAAGUAUUCCCAGUCAAUUUUAGCAAAUAUUUCAAGCACUAAACUGUGAAAAAUGCAUCCCAAAUUUCGUUAAAAUUGGGGACGCCAAUUUCGUAGCUACAAAUGUAAAAAAAUACAAAACAAAGACGAAAAACAUUUACCUUGAAUANNNNNNNNNNNNNNNNNNNNNNNNNNNNAUAUGCUUCAAUAUUACUCUUUUAAAGCGGAAAGUAUAGCGAAACAACAAAAAUGCCGAGAACUUUGCAAUACGCGUGACGUCACAGAUUGCAACUAGGUUGUUUUUGCUUACGUCAGCUAGAGUCCUAUCCAUUUAUUUUAUUAUCGGCAAAAUCUCGUAUUGCUAUCUCAAAGAAUAAUGGCUAUUGUGUUGUAGACAGCAGAAAGAACAGACGCUUUUUCCAAGAUAUGUCUUUUAGUAUCGCGUCUCACGUCUGUGAUAGCUAGUUAGAUAAAGCACGUACGGCAAAUUAUCUUACUGCCAUCAUAAAAGAUAUUGUAGGCUACAGAAAGAGCAGACGUUUUCUCAUCGGUAUAUGGAGGCUGUCUUAUAUCCUGACGCCUGUCAUACAUCGUUUGUUAGUCGCGUCAGGUUCGGCAAAUUAUUGCCAUACGUAUUACGUACUUAUCCCAAUAUCAGAAUGUUGUGGUCUGGUUGUUAUGACCAUCAUGGAAUAUUCUUUCAAACUAUGUAAAACGUUGUUCACUGCAAUUACAGUAAUACCAAGUUGACUAUAG
rnacentral:lncRNA from 1 species